GGCGGCGUGCCUAAUACAUGCAAGUCGAGCGGACAGAUGGGAGCUUGCUCCCUGAUGUUAGCGGCGGACGGGUGAGUAACACGUGGGUAACCUGCCUGUAAGACUGGGAUAACUCCGGGAAACCGGGGCUAAUACCGGAUGGUUGUUUGAACCGCAUGGUUCAAACAUAAAAGGUGGCUUCGGCUACCACUUACAGAUGGACCCGCGGCGCAUUAGCUAGUUGGUGAGGUAACGGCUCACCAAGGCAACGAUGCGUAGCCGACCUGAGAGGGUGAUCGGCCACACUGGGACUGAGACACGGCCCAGACUCCUACGGGAGGCAGCAGUAGGGAAUCUUCCGCAAUGGACGAAAGUCUGACGGAGCAACGCCGCGUGAGUGAUGAAGGUUUUCGGAUCGUAAAGCUCUGUUGUUAGGGAAGAACAAGUACCGUUCGAAUAGGGCGGUACCUUGACGGUACCUAACCAGAAAGCCACGGCUACUUACGUGCCAGCAGCCGCGGUAAUACGUAGGUGGCAAGCGUUGUCCGGAAUUAUUGGGCGUAAAGGGCUCGCAGGCGGUUUCUUAAGUCUGAUGUGAAAGCCCCCGGCUCAACCGGGC
rnacentral:rRNA from 1 species